CCUACGGGAGGCAGCAGUAGGGAAUCUUCCGCAAUGGACGAAAGUCUGACGGAGCAACGCCGCGUGAGUGAUGAAGGCUUUCGGGUCGUAAAACUCUGUUGUUAGGGAAGAACAAGUGCUAGUUGAAUAAGCUGGCACCUUGACGGUACCUAACCAGAAAGCCACGGCUAACUACGUGCCAGCAGCCGCAGUAAUACGUAGGUGGCAAGCGUUAUCCGGAAUUAUUGGGCGUAAAGCGCGCGCAGGUGGUUUCUUAAGUCUGAUGUGAAAGCCCACGGCUCAACCGUGGAGGGUCAUUGGAAACUGGGAGACUUGAGUGCAGAAGAGGAAAGUGGAAUUCCAUGUGUAGCGGUGAAAUGCGUAGAGAUAUGGAGGAACACCAGUGGCGAAGGCGACUUUCUGGUCUGUAACUGACACUGAGGCGCGAAAGCGUGGGGAGCAAACAGGAUUAGAUACCCUGGUAGUCCACGCCGUAAACGAUGAGUGCUAAGUGUUAGAGGGUUUCCGCCCUUUAGUGCUGAAGUUAACGCAUUAAGCACUCCGCCUGGGGAGUACGGCCGCAAGGCUGAAACUCAAAGGAAUUGACGGA
rnacentral:rRNA from 1 species